UGACAAGGCUGAUCUUGAAUUUGCGAUUCUCCUGCCUCAGUCUCUCCAAUUGCUCAGAUUAUAAACAGGGAUUACAUGGAAAACAUGCCCUGCUAGUUUUCUUUCAGUACCAGGGAUUGAACCCAGGGGUGCUCAAUCACUGAGCCACAUCCCCAGCCCUUGUUAAUUUAUAUUCGAGACAGGGUCUCACUAACUUGCUCAGGGCCUCAUAAAGUUUCUGAGGCUGACUCUGAACUUGUGAUUCUCCUGCCUCAGCCCCCAAGCAGUUGGGAUUACAGGAGUAUGUUACCAUUCCCCACUACCCAGUGAAGUGGUUUUUUGGUUUGUCUGCUUUUUGUGGUGCUGGGAUUUGAACCCAGGGUCUUGUGCAUGUGAGGCAAGCACUCUACCAACUGAGCUAUAUCCUGGCCCUAGUUUUGUUUUUAAUUUCUGGGAUGGACCUGGUGCAUGCGAGGCACGUGCUCUACCACAGAACUACAUCCCCAGCUAUUUUAUAAUUCUUCAUUAUGUACCUAAAGACAAGGGACAUGCCUUAUUUACUUUUGUAUCCCCAGCUUAAUAACUUGAGUGUUGAAUGAAUGACGAUCAUUUAUAAUUAUACUUCUCUCCCAAAUAAGUAGGCUACUUCACCACAAUUAGUUUUAUCAAUGUUCUGGAAAGCUAAACAUGUUGUAAUUCUUAAAAAAAAAACAAACAAAAAACUCUGGGGCAUGUCAGAAAGGAAGAAGGGGAGAAUAUCAGAUAAGUCAACUAGCAAUGUUUGUCACACCUGAGAGAUUGCUAAACUCUAAUUAUAUGCCAGUGAUACCUGUGAAGACUAGGUAUCAUUAUGAUUACACAAAAAUUAUUGAUUAUGGUGGGACGAACUGAUGGUAGAAGGAACAAUAUGAAAGAUUAUGGCAAAGGGAACAGGAGAGGAAAGAAGGAAGGUAUAAAUUUGCCAUUAAGCUUAAAGGGGAAAAGAUUAUUAUCCUUAGGUUAGAGGAAGAGAACAGGUUACUCCAGUAGUUCUGGAAAUUUACAUUAACAGAAAGUCUCUCAAAGCAUGAGUUUAUAUGGGACCUAAAAAAGAAAAAGAAGCCAGGUGCAAUGAUACAGGCUUAUAACCUCAGCUACUCAAGAGGCGGAGAUAGGUACAGUGGUAGUCCUGAAGUGCGACUCAGGAGAUUGAGCGAGACAUAUCCCUUGAGCCCAGUUGAAGUCAGCCUGGGCAACAUAAUGAGUCCCCCCUCAAAGGGGGGAAAAAUUCCCUGAGGACAGGACCUCCAAG
rnacentral:lncRNA from 1 species